rfam:Triticum aestivum genome assembly, contig: Triticum_aestivum_CS42_TGACv1_scaffold_322658_4BL
GCUGUAAUAGCUUAGUUGGCUAGAGCGUGUGGCUGUAAACCACAAGGCCCGAGGUUCGAGCCCUCCUUCUAGCA